CAAUGCAAUAGAGGUUGCGACAAGCACAAGAAUAUUGUGAAUACGCGAAUAUAACGAUCAAUAUUUGAAGGAUUGCCGCCGAAACGAGUUUAUCUUUCGCGAGUUAAGUUUGUUGGGUUGCAGGAGAAGAUCCUGCAGACUGUCUCGGUUCGUCCCCGAGGAGCGCUAUAAGAUUU
rnacentral:ncRNA from 2 species